ensembl:lncRNA
CUAAACCCCUGAGUUGCCGCCGAGCUCUCCUCCCAGUCGAAUCAGCCUGCUGCAAGAAUGUGCUUGCGUGAUACUUAAUCCCUUACUGGGAGCCCAGAUAGGGUUUCUUGCCAGAACUAGAAAUUGCCUUUUACAAAUUCCCCUUCCUAAGCAAGCUAUGAUAGCCCCCAUGUGGGGCCAGUAACACCCUAUCAGUGUAUUUUUAAACAAGAGCAAAGGGCUCCACCUUGUAUCAUAAAUUACGGUAACAUCACUUCUAACCACAGAGGCGCAGUUCACAAGAGCAGAAACAAUCUAUUUCAGGAUCUCAGGGGUACGUAGUUGCAUAUUCUAGUUGUGAGUGCCUCUGGUUGUGCCGUGUGGGACACCACCUCAACAUGGCCUGAUGAGCAGUGCCAUGUCCAUGCCCAGGAUCUGAACCAGUGAAACCUUGGACCACCAAAGCAGAGCACACGAACUUGACCACUCAGUGUUGGGGCUGGCCCAACAGAGACCCUCAGACUCUCUGGCUUCCGCUUGGGUUUGGCCAAUGAAGACACUUGCAGGAGACUGGCGGAAGGAGGCAAGCGAGAAACGGGACUAGAAGUGCCGCAAUCUCAUCAGAAAAUGCAGCUUCCGGUGGUAUUUUUCACCAGGAACAGAAGCAGAAGUGUGCAGAAUCACCCGAGAAAGCCCCAGCUCUCCUGAGAGCCGUUCUCGAAUUUUGCUGGCACAGAGCACUGGGAGGUGAAUUGCAAUGUCAGCGCCUGGAAAUUGGGACUCAGACUCCUUAAACUCUCUUCUCACAAGGGUGUCUCUGCCUCCAUCGUUUCUGCACGUGCUAAAGGCAGAAGAAGAGGCAGAGGCUGCUGCGUCUCCUGGCAGGCGGGCCAGUUGGAACAAAGACACCAGCGGGGCCACCUCGGAAAGCAAUCUGGAGAAGUCCCAGCAAACAGCAUUUAGGGGAAGGGGAAAAACGCCUGUGGACCUGAUAAUGCAUCACGUCCCAUUGUUAAGGAGGCAAAAAGCAGAAAUUUACCUUGAAGGCUCAUGGGAGUUUGAUUUCCCUGGAAAGACAUGACCCACAUUUCUCACGGAUUGUGGGUCAAUAUUUGACCAUCUCCUCUUAUUUUCUCAUCUUCGUGUUUAAGAUUUAAAAUACAAGUACUAUGUAAUCUCUUUAAAAGAUUCAAACAGUAUAAAAUUAAGGCCUAAACUCAACUGGAACAACCCUUUUCUGCCAUUACAGAGAAGUCUGUGGAGGGAGCUUCCCAGUGCUGUCAGGAUCAAGUCCAAGCUUGGGUGUUUCAGCACGGCUAAAAUCCCCCGCCGGACCUGGCCCCCUGGAGGCUCACCAGGAGCAACGGUCCCUCUUCUGUGGGCGUGGUUUCGAGGCUCAGAUGAAGUAACGCCUGUCACGCUGUUCCUUGGUCCUUGACAUGGAGGAGGGGAUCAACACGUGGGAGCUCUGUCGCUAAGACCUGGGAUCUGCUGGGAAUCAGGGAGGCCAACUAACUCAGCUACCCAGUGGUUCUCAACCGGGGAUGGGGGAGGAUUUUGCCCCCAGGCGCACUGGCAAUAUCUGGAGACGUUUUUGGUUGUCACAAUGUGGGGAGAGUGCUACUGGCAUCUAGUGGGUGGAGGUCAGGGAUGCUGCUAAAUACCCUGCAAUGCACAGGUCAGCCUCCUCCAUCCCCACCCCACCCCCACCCUCCCAUGACAGAGAAUUAUCUGGACCAAAACGUCACUAGGGCUGAGGUCAAGAAACACUGGAUGAGGCCACCCGGAAGAAGCUUCCCUCUUCUAUGCUCCAGAUCAAAUCCAUCGCCACUUCAGUUUCUCUGCAUGCCACUGUCUCUUGCUUGAGUGUACUAAAGUGGCCUAGUCUUUUCUCCAGGAGCACGCUUCCUACAGAUCUUCAACGGCUGGUUCCUCGUUCAAACGUCCCUCCCCAGGAAGCCUUCUCUGACCACCCACUGCAAGGCUGCUCCCGCCCUCCCUGGUUCUCCUCCUGUAGGCAGCCUAUUCGUUUCCUUCUAAUAUCUAUCACCAUCAGAUGGGACAUUUAUUUUCUUAGUUGAUCAGUUGAUUGUCUCCUGCACUCGAAUGUGAGCACCAUGAAGAGGAAGAGUCAGGUCUGUCUUGAUCAGGGGUUUGUAAACUACCACCUGUGGGCCAGAUUUGGCCCUUUGCCUCUUUUUGUAAAUAAAGCUUUAUUGGAACAAGCUAUGCCCGUUCUCUCAUGUAUUGUUGCUUGUGGUUGCUUUUGCUCUCCAACAGCAAACUUGAGUAGUUGUGAUAGACACUGAGCAGCCCGCAAAGCCAAGAUAGUCACCCUUUUCAGAAAAUGUGUGCCAACCCUGGUUGUGGUUAUUUGUCUAGUGCAGUGCCUGGCACAUAGUGGGCACUCAGCAAAUACUGAUCGAGUGUUUACUCAGUACCCUUAAUCCCACCUAAUCCUGCUUAGCACUCCAUGAGGUAGAUUCUAAUAAGGGUCCACAAACCUGAAACUUCCGAAGCCAUACUUUUAAAAACCAAAUUUGGCAGCAAAACCUGAUCUGAUCUGACCUGUUUGGCUGCAGAAUAUGCCUUGAACAAAUGCGAGGCUGUCGAUUGCCUAUAUUUCUCUCACUAAUUUGACCUUUGUGUGUUUCUCUGCAGACGUGUCGAUGAGGCAGAUUGAGGUGCUGCCCCAGGCCUCGCAGGCAAUGCUGUGUCCCAUACGGUAUAAGCAUCGCAUCACAUUUCUAAAAUCUCAAAAUUCUGAAUUCCAAAGCAUAUUCCACUAUAAGGGUUUGGACAAGAGAUUUGGAUGUGUAGUUUUCUUUAUUUUAAAGCUGAGGAAUGGAGAGACCAAACCAAAUAACAAUGCUUGUGAAUGGCAGGACCCAGAUUUGAAUCUCGGAUCUGAUCCCUGAGUUGUGGCUGUACCCGCUAGGCUCUCUCAGGAGAGGCGGGCUGGUGCUUGUUCACUGGAUGAAUUAAGGGGUUGACGAAGCUGGCUGGGCCUUGUUCUCACCCCUGGGCUGGUUUGCCCGCUACUCGGGAGGUUCCUGCCUUUCCUCUGUCAGAACAUCUUUCCAGGCCAAGUAUUGCAGCUGUAAAUGUGCAUGCAAAACACACAUGCACGCACACACACACUCACACACAUGUGCACACACACGUACAACUCAAAAAAGGAGCUACAUACUAUUAUAGUUUCUGCAGAUUUGUGGUCACUGUUGUUCUGAGCAAUCUCAUCUUUAUGAAUCAGGUGACAAAACCCACUAGUAACCAGGCAGGGGAAAGAAAACAGAUGCUUUUCCAGUCAGGCAGGAUGGAGCUGAGCAGUUGUCACUGUGGUUAAACCUCUGCCUCCAGGAAGACACAGCCCCUUGUAAAAAAUUAUUGCUGUUCUCUCUCUGGUUUUGGGAGCUGCC